rnacentral:rRNA from 1 species
ACUCCUACGGGAGGCAGCAGUGGGGAAUUUUGGACAAUGGGCGAAAGCCUGAUCCAGCAAUGCCGCGUGAGUGAAGAAGGCCUUCGGGUUGUAAAGCUCUUUUGUCAGGGAAGAAACGGUGAAAGCUAAUAUCUUUUGCUAAUGACGGUACCUGAAGAAUAAGCACCGGCUAACUACGUGCCAGCAGCCGCGGUAAUACGUAGGGUGCAAGCGUUAAUCGGAAUUACUGGGCGUAAAGCGUGCGCAGGCGGUUUUGUAAGUCUGAUGUGAAAUCCCCGGGCUCAACCUGGGAAUUGCAUUGGAGACUGCAAGGCUAGAAUCUGGCAGAGGGGGGUAGAAUUCCACGUGUAGCAGUGAAAUGCGUAGAUAUGUGGAGGAACACCGAUGGCGAAGGCAGCCCCCUGGGUCAAGAUUGACGCUCAUGCACGAAAGCGUGGGGAGCAAACAGGAUUAGAAACCCGGGUAGUCCCAUG